AUGGAUGCGCUAAUGGACGACACUGAUGACAAGGAAAGUGCCAUCGUACAUCCUCUGGGUGUCUUGAGGAGCUGGUCUUUGGAUAAUGCUGAGCAGGUCUUUCUUUCUGGUAAAGAUUAUCAUUACAGUGAAGUAAAAUAAUUUAACAGACAGAUUUACAAACAACUGACGAAAGAAGGGAGACCAUUCAAUAGUCCCUUUAUUUAUCAGGGGUUGCCACAGCAGAAGGAACUGCCAACUUAUCCAGCAUAUGUUUUACACAGCGGAUGCCCUUCCAGCUGCAACCCAGUACUGGGAAACACCCAUUUACACUCAUACACUUGAACAUGGGGAGAACAUGCAAACUCCACACAGAAAUGACCACUGGCCCAGGCGGGGCUUGAACCAGCAACCUUCUUGCUGUGAAGCGACGGUGCUAACCACUGUGCUGCCCUAUGUGCUCUAUGCGGGUGAGUGGGAUUGACAAACCACUUGGAGGGAACACUCUUGCUGUCUUAACCAGACAUUUUGUUAUAAAUAAUCAUGUGCGUUUCAUGUUUAUUCAUAUAACUGCUAUUUUAUCUCUUAGCACUUCAUUUUUGUCUUGAUAUUUAAUAUCUCUUGUUUAAAUACACUAUGAACAGCAGCUGCGCUAAUUAUUUUCCUUGUUCCCUAUUUCCACCUGGGGAUAUU
rnacentral:lncRNA from 1 species